UCUUUGCAUUAGGGAUUGAAGCGGAAAUCCUUUUGCUAUCAGUAAAAGAUUGUAGCGGAAAGCGCGACCCGAA
rnacentral:sRNA from 1 species